rnacentral:tRNA from 1 species
AACAAGUUAGUAUACUAAAUACCCUUAAUUUAGACUUAAAAAAAAGAUUAACUCUACUUGUUA